UGGGGCCGGGGUAGGAGGUGAGGGUCUGCGCCCGGCCAGCGGCCGAGGCGGCCAGAGUCGUCCGGGCGGCUCGGGUGGUGUCCUCGGAGGGGGCGACACGUUUCCUGGUGCGCCCCGGGGGCCGCCGGCGGGGCUGUGGUUGUCGAGAGGGUCCCUCGGGGAGUCCCGUGACCCCCGACCGCUCCAGGCCCGGGUUAUCAAACUGUGACCUUCUCUGGAAUGAAGAAUGCUUCAUCAAGCAGUGAACAUCUUCCAUUUCUUGGGGGUUCUGGUUCUGCAGAAGAGCUCAAAGGUGGCGCAGUGGUUGAGAAUCCGCCUGCCAAUGCAGGGGACACGGGUUCGAGCCCUGGUCUGGGAAGAUCCCACAUGCCGCGGAGCAACUAGGCCCGUGAGCCACAACUACUGAGCCUGCGCGUCUGGAGCCUGUGCUCCGCAGCAAGAGAGGCCACGAUAGUGAGAGGCCCGCGCACCGCGAUGAAGAGUGGCCCCCGCUAGCCGCAACUAGAGAAAGCCCUCGCACAGAAACGGAGACCCAACACAGCCACAAAUAAAUAAAUAAAUAAAAUUUAAUAAUUUCCUUUUUCUUGUUCCCUUUCUGCAGCUAUAACGAAGUUCCUUUCUAUUGCUGGAUGGGAUGUGGC